rnacentral:SRP_RNA from 1 species
GCCGGGCGUGGUGGUGCGCUCCUGUAAUCUCAGCUACUUGGGAGGCUGAGGCAGGAGAAUCGCUUGAACCCGGGAGGCGGAAGUUGCAGUGAGCUGAGUUUGUGCCACUGCACUCCAGCCUGGGCAACAAAGUGAGACUCUGCCUCAA